rfam:Lupinus angustifolius cultivar Tanjil contig_33570, whole genome shotgun sequence.
AGGUGUGGUCAAACCAGUGCUAAUCCACCGGAUCCCAUAAGAACUCCGCAAUUAAGCAUGUUAGGGCGAGAGUAGUAAAUAGAUGGUUGACCUCCUUGGAAGUCCACGUGUCACACCUA